rnacentral:lncRNA from 1 species
GUCAUAACGGCGACCGUGAAGACUUUUAAAAUAGAGACCAACGUGGCCGGGCAGGAAGAGCAGGGUCCCGCCUUCAGGUGUUUGGGACUCAGCUGAGGGUGUGGGUGCCCCGCGGUGGGGGCUGAACCUUCCUGGGGUGUGGAGAGACGAAAGGAGCCCAGAUCCAAGUUCCCUCGUUCCCGCUUUGGCAUAAGUUGCCCUGGCGGUCUCAUGAGAGAGAGAAAGAGCUGGGACCCUCCUCGCCCCAGUGAGUGUGAUGUCUUGCUCCGGGUGUCCUGGGGCAACUUUCUAUACAGGCGGGACGUGGGAGGAUCAGACAGUGUAACAUCAGACAAGGGUGUUGACUCUGCAGCACAGAACCAGUAGUUUGUGGAGAAGAAUGGAGGUGUGGUGUUGAAUCUGCUAGACAGGCUACUGAAGCAAAAGUCAAGAGAUCCAGAUUCCAUCAUGGGGACACUUUAGUUCUUCAUCGGGUAAUUGAGCUGAUAUCAGGUGUCUGAAGGAGGCAAGUUUUGAAGAUGUGGGUCAUGAUGGCUGCUGAAGCUUCCACUCCAUAUUUGAAGGUCAGCAGUUCUCAGGAAACCUCUAGCACUUCCAUCCCUGGUGGGAUGUGAUGCCUGUCUCAGUGUAACAUCAGAGAAGGGGUGUACUCUGUGCCCUAGAACUAGGAGCUAACAGAGAAAAACCAAAUGUGAUGUGGAGUCUGCUAGACAGGCUACUGGAGCAAGAGUGAAGCGAUGAAAGUCUCAUCAUUGGGACAUAUUAGAAAAAAUGAUGGAUACAGAAGGAUAGCUGGAUGUAAGUGAAAAGUUCCAGAAAACCAUGUCUGAUCCCAUUAAUCAAGCUCCCAACUUUCAUCCCUCCCUGCCCGCUGCUGAGUCCCCUGGUCUACACUCAGAGUUGCAAUCCUGACUCUGGCCACCAAGAGGCAUUACAGCUAUCUCCACGUUCCUUGCUCUUUCUUAAUGAAAAGGGGUAAAUUUCGCAGAGUAAGUAAUGUUAUGAAACUUUUCUUUACUGUGAUACCAAUAGUUCGGAAUACCCAUUUGUAUAUUAAAGCAGGCCAAUUUGCUGUUGAUUCCAAAUCUACAGCGCAUUCAGUAAUUUAUUUUUUCCUUCAUUAGCGUAGGUUGAGGUGUCCACGCUGUAGGGGGGGGUCCCUCCUGGAGAGCAGGGUGUUCACCACCCAUCACUCCAACCCUGUACAGGCUUCUCAGACUCUCUCCCACUCCCUCCCACUGACCCCCCUCUCCAAGACAUUGUGGACACAUCUGCCCAGACCCCACUCCAGCGCCUCAUCCUUUCAGUCACUUCCUGCUGCCCUGGGCUCCCCCAAUCCUGCCUCCCAGCAACAGCCAAGGCACAUCAGACCUACCUGGUGUUUCAUCCUAUGGAUGUCCCACAGUAUGUUUUUACACUCUUUUUUACACCUGUCAGGGUUGUUUUUUUUUUCCAGACAGAAUCAUUCUGCAGUUCCUUUCAUAGACUGGGUUUUAGGGGAGGAUACCGUAUUUUUCUGCUCCUUGCUUACACUUUGUAGAGAAGUUUGAUAAUAGUGGUACAGUGAUGCCCCCUCAUGACAGAAGCCUGAACUGCAGCAGCUUGAACAUCGCUGAGCAGGAAGGUGGGAGGGAGGUGCUGUGGCCCAUGCACACCCUACAGAGUUUUCUGGAAGUGUGAGUAGAAAAAUGGGCAUUCCCACUGUACAGGGAUACUGACGGCCACCAGACAGAAAGUGUAGCCUCUUUAUGUGCUAUGUGAAAGCACAAAAUGAUCAUUUCUGUGUUUAUGCUUUCAAACCUCUGGAUAAAUAGCUAUAGACCUAUAUAAGCAAAAAUGCAUCUUGGCCACUAAGUGAUCUUUGUGACCCACAUUUGCCCUCAUUGUGAUCAUCUUUGCAUACACAUGCGUUUCCAUAAUAAUGUUUUAAAUUUCCUUCCAAAAAUAAUUGUAGUCUCUUUUUUUUAUCAACCAGGUGGUUCAUCAUGUGGGUGCCCCAAAAAUUCAUUUAAUUAGUAUCCCAGUCAUAAAAAUGUAGUUGCUUUAACAUUUUUUCCUGUUACAAACAAUAGUAUACUUAAUAUCCUCCUCAUAUAUAUGCAAAUAUAUUUGUAAGCAUUUCUGUCAAAAAAAAAAAAGUUCCUGGAAGUGGUCUUUCAAAACCCUGGGAACUGUAAAAUUUUAUAUUAACAUAGUGAAAUCCAAAUACUAUUUCUAACUUAUAUUCCUUACAUAACAGUAUGUAAGGACCUUGUGUCUUCACACAUUAGAAAUAAUGUGAAUCAUUGCUAAUCUUACAGGCAACAAAUCACCUCUCAUCGUUAUCUUCAUUAAAACUUGUUUUGCUGAAUUCUAGAAUUCCAUCCUAUGGAUAUGACAUCAGUUUUCUCAAACCUGUGUUAGUCAGAGUGUUCUGAUAUUCCCUGUUAUCUACACUGUGUGGAAGACAUCUUUUCAGAGUCUGUGCAUGGCUGAAGGGCACAGUUCCUGUAGCUGUUUACACUGGUGAGCCAAAUGGGUCCUCUUAGAGCCUUACUAACUGUCUUGGAGGUUAUUACAGUACUAAUAACAGAACCUGGUUGCUGUACAUGUGUGUGUAUUUGUCACUGCUUGUGUGUGUGCACAGCAUUUCCCUCUGCUUCCUUCUGCCCCUUCAUAAUUUGGUGUACCGGUUGGUCUUUCUUCCUAAAUUCAGGCCCAGAAAUAAAGGAAGGGAAUUUUCAGAAUGACAGUACUUAUAACCAGAUGCUUAUCAGCAUCCUUCACAAUGUCCUGAAGAUAAACUUCUAAAAGGUAAAUUGUUGGUGCAAAGGGUGUGCACCUAUGUAGCCCUUUGAUAAGUAUUGCAAUACUGACACCCAGAGAGGUAAUGCCAUUUAGAUUCCUCAGGUGGAGUCACAGGAGAAAAUCCCAAGAGGAGUAAAAAAUAAUAAUGCUGAUGUCAUGUUAGAGUGGAGGCCCUGGAUGCUGUUGUGGACCCACUCUCCAGUUUCUUCCACAGUUAGAAGAUGUGGAAGUGAUCAGGUGCAACUCGAAUUUUUCAUACAAGCAAAGCCCGAGUCAGCGUGAGGGGUGGUGGUGGUGGGGCAGGGAGAGACUGCCAUUGCUUGGAGUUACUUAGGACACAGUCAGCAGGGCUGGGAUACAGCUACGGUUUUAUAUAUAUUCAUGGGUAUAGAAAACAUGGGCAUCAAGGCCUUCAUAUGAAAAAGUUUGGUCAUUACUGAGGUACAACAGAAGGCUUUCUUGCAAUAUAAUUACAGACAAUGAAAUUCGCAGUUUUAAGGAUACAACUUGAUGAUUUUCAGUAAACAAAAGUUGUGCAACCAUCACCGUAGUUGAGUUUUGGAGGUUUCCAUCACUAUAAAAUGUCCCAUCAUACUUGAACGCAGUUAAUCCCUGCUUUCACCCCCAGCUCCAGGAAUCACAGCGCAGAGCUUUUAUGCAGAUGACUGAACCCGUGGAGUUAGGUGGCUGAGAGGAUGCAGCUUCCCAGGUCUCUACAACUGAUGGCAGCAAGAUGGGAGCACCCAGCUACAGUGUUCAGAAGUAGAUUUAGGCAGACUACCACACCUUACAUGCUAGAGGGAUCCACACUGACCUGAGUAGGUGAGGUCUCAGACAGGCUUGUUUUCUAUCAUGGGGACAGGAUUACAGCCUACUCAGAAGUAAGUUGUGGUCCAGCUCUUGUGUCAUUCAGAAAGACUCCAGAACGUGUAGAUCCAGCUCCUCUCUAAACUUGAACUCAACCAAUAUCCCAGAGAGACAUUCUUAAUCUUCUAGGCAAAUGCACUGUCAUUAGGAGCCACCAGAGACCACACAAACACACACAAAUACACACACACACACACACACAUAUACACCCUGGAGCCUUAAUGCCAGCAGUAGCCCUAGGAGAACCUACAGGCUCAUGUGCUUGUUGCUUAUUGUCUGUUAGGCUGCAUAUGUAACUGGACCCUUUUGCAUUUAAAAAAAUAGCAAUAAUGAUGAUUAACAGAGUGUUUAUUAGGGAAUUAUUUAAAAAUUACCUUAGUAUCCAGUUAAAUAUGAUGAAAAUGAGAGAAUUUCCACCUGUCAUGUUAUCAAAGUAUUUUAAAAAACCAUCGAGGAUUUCAGUGAGGUGUGCAUAUGGGUAGGUCUACUCUGUCUCAUAUUGGGGGAGGGGAUAUCACUUCGUACAACCUCUUUCCAGGUUGAUUUGGCAAUAUCUUUUAAAUAGUCUGUGCAUCCCCACUCUGUAUGUAUUUGGAGCCUGUCCCUUCAAGUAUUCAUCCUCAGUGUGACAACUGCCCCUCUAUUAGAGGAUGCAUAUUCCUCAUGAUGUAGGUUGUCUGGGAACUCUACUUUCUAAAGCACUGACCCAGACACAUUCCCUUGUCUUUGCAGAGCAGGAUAUUGAUGUACAACAAGAUUCUCUGAUCAGAAAGAGAGGCAGAACUAGCAGCCUGGCUUCAGAGGUGAAGAUACAGAUGUCAGUAGUGACCCAGUGUGACAUGCAUAAAGGAAUUUCUUAUUGAGCCCCAGGAAGAAGAAACACUACAUAAGAGCAAAUAAUAAAAUCGGUCAGAUAGACAGAAGAUGGGAGUCAUCAAACCUGUAUCCCUCUUGCCAGACCUAUCAACUGACCAUACGUCAUUCAGGAGGCAGCAGGUGGCUGAAAUCCUGGUGUGAUGUGGCUGGAUCAUGCAUGAUCUGAGGACUCCUGCACAGGUGACUGCAGGAUGAGUACAGAAUUUUUCUAUAAAUAUACUAAAAUACCAAGUAAGCCAGGAGCAGCCACUAGGCAAACACCAAACCUUGCAUUCCUGGCCAAACCUAUCACAGAGCUCAUCAGAUGCAGUGGAUCCCCAGGUUGCAAGUCAUAUAACCUGAGCAUGCCCAGAUGAACCAAGUAUGCCUGAUUGGUGAACCUGGAACUGGCCAGAACAGAAAAUGUCAACCACAUGUGGAAUCUAAGUAUUCAGAUUGAGAAAUGAGGACCAAAAUGAGAACACUGAGCUCCUCACACAGGUGACUGAACCCGUGGUUUUGGUGUCUGAGAAGAUGCAGCUUCUCCAGUCUCUGCAACUGACGGCAGGAAGAUGGGAGCACUCAGCUUCAGUGUUCAGAAGCAGAUUUAGGCCAAUUGCCAUACCUUACGUUCUGGAGGGAUCCACCCUGACCUGAGCAGAAGGCAUCACACACAUUCCCAAGCAGCAUGGUUCCCGUGAGAAACUGAAAACUAAUUUCUUGAAUCUACAAUGCGACUUCCA